UCGAAGCAUCGGCACAGCACGUAACAUCACUAAACGCUACGUCUUAUUGACAUUCAAAGACCAUUUAAGUGUGAAAAACUAAAACAAGAAAGUCAAUUAAAAGCUACAGUAUUUCCUGUCUGUCAGAUAUGGCGCUUGUAUUUGAGUCAAUCUAAUGUAACGUUAGUGUCCAUGUAGUGCAAUGCCCAAGGGAUCAGUCCAAACAUGCUGAUGGUUAUAUUGAUAUAGCAUGAGGGUAAACCUCUGUCUUGUGAUAGGUGGGUGUUGUUAACUUUUACAGAGCUAGAAAAAAAAAACAGGAAGUCUGGAGGGAAUAUUUGUUGUGAUACAGGAAAGCAGUAAACCGAAAUGUCUAUUGUGUGAUUGUAAUACUUUGCUGAAUGUUUUUUAUUGAACUCAACCCACAGUGCAGGAACUGUGACUACCAACAAGAGGCAGACAACAGCUGCAUCUAUGUCAACAAGAUCACCCACGAGUGAGUUGACACAAAUAAUUAUCUCAGGAUCCAACACUACCAAGGACAGAGGACCACUCCUGUCCCAAAUGUGGUCACAAGGAGGCAGUGUUCUUCCAGUCUCACAGUAUGAAGGCUGAGGAUGCUAUGCG